GGACCUUUAGCUCAGUUGGUUAGAUCAGACGGCCAUAACCGUCCGGUCGUUGGUUCAAGUCCAACAAGGUCCA
rnacentral:tRNA from 1 species